rnacentral:rRNA from 1 species
CCUACGGGAGGCAGCAGUGGGGAAUUUUGGACAAUGGGCGAAAGCCUGAUCCAGCGACGCCGCGUGGAGGACGAAGGUCUUCGGAUUGUAAACUCCUUUUGCAGGGGACGAAAAAAAUGACGGUACUCUGCAAAUAAGCCACGGCUAACUACGUGCCAGCAGCCGCGGUAAUACGUAGGUGGCGAGCGUUACUCGGAAUCACUAGGCGUAAAGCGCGUGUAGGCGGUAUUUUAAGUCUGUUGUGAAAUCUUAGGGCUCAACUGGGAGAGGUCGUUUCAGACUGCCCGGCUUGAGGGUCGGAGAGGGACGUGGAAUUCCCGGUGUAGCGGUGAAAUGCGUAGAGAUCGGGAGGAACACCAGUGGCGAAGGCGGCGUCCUGGCCGACACCUGACGCUGAAGCGCGAAAGCGUGGGGAGCGAACGGGAUUAGAUACCCCUGUAGU